GACGAACGCUGGCGGCGUGCCUAAUACAUGCAAGUAGAACGCUGAAGAGAGGAGCUUGCUCUUCUUGGAUGAGUUGCGAACGGGUGAGUAACGCGUAGGUAACCUGCCUUGUAGCGGGGGAUAACUAUUGGAAACGAUAGCUAAUACCGCAUAACAAUGGAUGACACAUGUCAUUUAUUUGAAAGGGGCAAUUGCUCCACUACAAGAUGGACCUGCGUUGUAUUAGCUAGUAGGUGAGGUAAUGGCUCACCUAGGCGACGAUACAUAGCCGACCUGAGAGGGUGAUCGGCCACACUGGGACUGGGACACGGCCCAGACUCCUACGGGAGGCAGCAGUAGGGAAUCUUCGGCAAUGGGGGCAACCCUGACCGAGCAACGCCGCGUGAGUGAAGAAGGUUUUCGGAUCGUAAAGCUCUGUUGUAAGUCAAGAACGGGUGUGAGAGUGGAAAGUUCACACUGUGACGGUAGCUUACCAUAAAGGGACGGCUAACUACGUG
rnacentral:rRNA from 1 species